rnacentral:rRNA from 1 species
UACGUAGGGUGCAAGCGUUGUCCGGAAUUAUUGGGCGUAAAGAGCUCGUAGGCGGUUUGUCGCGUCUGCUGUGAAAACUCGGGGCUUAACCCUGGGCCUGCAGUGGGUACGGGCAGACUAGAGUGCGGUAGGGGAGACUGGAAUUCCUGGUGUAGCGGUGGAAUGCGCAGAUAUCAGGAGGAACACCGGUGGCGAAGGCGGGUCUCUGGGCCGAUACUGACGCUGAGGAGCGAAAGCGUGGGGAGCGAACAGG